rnacentral:lncRNA from 1 species
AAGAAAUGACAGCUAUGCGUGAAGAUCUCCAGAAAGGGCAGGAAUACAAAAAAGAACGGGAGGCAGAGGCCACAAAGCCUCAGGAAUCUUGGAUGAAGGAGGACUUCCAGGAGCUCAUCCAACAAAUGAAAGCUAUGCGUGAAGAUCUCCAGAAAGGGCAGGAAUCCAGAAAGACAGAGGAGGAAAAUCCCCCAAAGUCUCAGGGAUCUGGGAUGGAGGAGACCCUUGUGCAGCUCUGCAAAGAAAUGAAAGCUAUGCGUGAAGAUCUCCAGAAAGGGCAGGAAUCCACAAAUUGCCUUCUUCAGCUGCUCGUAGAAGACCUGAACAAGGAACAAGGUGAGCAGGGCCAUUCCCAAGCACUUCCAUCUCUCUGAACACCAAAACUGCUCUACAGGCAAACCACACUGAGAGCUUGUCCUGCACAGCUCCUCAAAGGGGCUGGAGAAGGACGGCCCUGACAUGGGGCACAGCUUUUGUGCUGCCUGACCCUGAAACAGCUCCCUGCUGAAGUGUUCUCUGCAGGUGGUCAUGGCCACACUUGUCUCCCUCAUCUCUGCAGAGAGUGUGUGCUGUGAGUUCUCUGAUCCCCUGAUCCUUGUUAAGGUUCCCCCCUUGCAGUCCUGUCAGCAUCUCUCUCCCUUUCCCCACUCCCCUUCUCCCACUCCCCACUCCUGGGGCCGUCUUGGGGCACAUGUGAUCCCAACCUUGUCUUCCUGUUGAAGAUCCACAAGGAGACCCAGCUCCAUGAGCACUGCAGGUGUCUCUGAG